GUCCGGAGGGCACACAAGACGCUGUGGAGGAAGGGAGCGAAGGACAUGCGGAGGAGAGAUCUAAGAGGGCAAGAGAUCCGCACGGGACGGGCGAUCUUCCGGGGACAAGAGAUCCGCCCGGGACGAGAGAUCUGGGAGCUCCAGAGACAAUGAGGAAGGAGGGGUGCCCAUCACUAAAGCAGUACCUGCACACUGGACCAACAGUGUGACUUGAUGGGGACAGGAAGAGUGAGAAUGACAGAACUUUUAGGAACCUGACAACGGACGCUGCCGACGACAGUCCAGGAAGACAUCCGUCACCCCCGGGGGUUUGGAGUCCCGGGACUGAGACCAGACGCUCCAGGAAGCCUGACCUGCCAGGUUCCCACUGGACAUUGGGCGGCACUGGACAUCCCCCUCAGAAAAGGCUUCUCCAGAGGAUCUGUCAUCUAGACACCAUCCCAGCACCUCACCAAGAGGACUGCUGUGACUACCAGCUCGGAACUCUCCCGCAUGCUCCCACUGGAGACCGACCUCUGCAAUGGGAACCUAAUUGUCUGGGGAUCUGCAGGCAAACCCAUAUUCUGAAGUGGGGAUCUGCAGGCAAACCCAUAUUCUGAAGUCCACCAAGGGUCCCAUGGCUUGGGCCAUGAUUUCCACGAGAGCAUCAAUUUCUGUUUCACUCACUGCGGGGG